UUCUUUCUUUGUUAAAUUUCUUAAUUCAAAUUAAAAUUUCUAAACAAAUAUAUUUUGGUUCGAAGCCGAAUUUCUAAUGACGUACGUCAAUCUUUGAGUUCUAUAACCAGAAUCUUAUCACAGUGCCAACCAACUAUCACCGAAUCACGGGAACCUGACAAACAUCACCGGUUUUCCCUGGCUUUUCACAAAUAUGCAAAAUAACCAGCUGACCGCACGACAUAAAGUUUCUGUAUUUGAAGAAAAAGAAAAAUGCCAAGUAUUGUGUUCAUAGCUUGAAAUGAGGAUUGAAAAUCACGUUGAGAUCCAAGUCUGCUGAGAGCUUUCUACUUACUCUAUGAUCCGUGUCACAAUAAAUUACCGACAUAUUGGAUAUAGGAACUUGUAAGGUAGGCAAUCAUAUUAUUAGGUGAACACAUCCAGGUGUAAUUGUCAAAUCAACAAACAUCAAUAAAAUAUAUUUGCCGACCAACUUGAAACCAGCUGUCACAAUCAAAUGUCAUAUUUUCAUGAAAUAUUUCUUCCUUAUUUACAUUUCGCUACCAAGCAGGCCAUAA